rnacentral:tRNA from 1 species
GGGCCGGUAAAUCAGCCCGGAAGAUUGCCUGCUUUGCAAGCAGGAAGUCCGGGGUUCAAAUCCCCGCCGGUCCACCA